UACGUAGGGGGACAGCGUUGUCCGGAUUUAUUGGGCGUAAAGAGCGUGUAGGCGGCUAGGUAGGUCCGUUGUGAAAACUCGAGGCUCAACCUCGAGACGCCGAUGGAAACCGUCUGGCUAGAGUCCGGAAGAGGAGAGUGGAAUUCCUGGUGUAGCGGUGAAAUGCGCAGAUAUCAGGAAGAACACCCGUGGCUAAGGCGGCUCUCUAGUACGGUACUGACGCUGAGACGCGAAAGCGUGGGGAGCGAACAGG
rnacentral:rRNA from 1 species